CUGUCACAACCUAAUAUCAUAAUUUCCAGAAUUCACUAAUCCAGUAUCGACUUCAUGCUUUAGCAGCUUAUAUGCUGACAUAGAAGUAAGCAAAAACUAAGAUUGUAAUAAUUGAGACACAACAUAUAGGUAGUGUAGGAGGAGCAUAGGUGCACAAACAGGUAAACCCAUUGAAUUGAUCAAACAAAUAUGUACAUAUACAUGUACAUAGACAUAUGUCCAUGUUUACAUACAUAAACUUGUGGAGAAUAACAAGAGAAGCUACAAGAUCAUAAUAAAAGAACCAUCUAAUUUUCAUCCAAAAAUUCAGAAGAGAACGUAUAUGAACCUGUUUUUCUCCUCAUAGGAUUGACAGAAGAAACUCCAAACUGGAUACAAACUAAACUUUAAUGACCUAAUCUAACCUACUCAUAGAACAAAAAUCUUUCCUUGAAAGACUUCCACCCUUAAGACAGAGGAACUAGCAUCUCCUCAGAAACAUAAAAUACAAAGCAGUGAACACUUGUUCUUGGUAACAAUGGCAUGAGAUUCAUAGCAACAGCAAGUAAAAGAACCCAACUGCACCAUCCAAUACUCAAAAAACAUUCUCCUUUUUUAAGGGUUCCACUAUCCAAAUCAUUAUCCCAUUCAAUCAAAGGUCAAGCAUGACAAGUGCAAAUAAGAUAUCAGUCACUUAGAAUUCUUUCAUCUAA
rnacentral:lncRNA from 1 species